UUAAGAAUAUUGGACAAUGGGGGCAACCCUGAUCCAGGUAUACCGCGUGUGUGAAGAAGGCCCUAGGGUUGUAAAGCACUUUAAUCAGAGAAGAAGCAUUUUAAGUUAAUACCUUAAUAUGUUGACGUUACCUGAAGAAUAAGGACCGGCUAACUCCGUGCCAGCAGCCGCGGUAAUACGGAGGGUCCAAGCGUUAAUCGGAAUUACUGGGCGUAAAGCGCGCGUAGGCGGUUUAGCAAGUUGAAUGUGAAAGCCCUGGGCUCAACCUAGGAACUGCAUUCAAAACUACUAAGCUAGAGUACGAGAGAGGAGAGUAGAAUUUCUGGUGUAGCGGUGAAAUGCGUAGAUAUCAGAAGGAAUACCAAUGGCGAAGGCAGCUCUCUGGCUCGUCACUGACGCUAAGGUGCGAAAGCGUGGGUAGCAAACAGG
rnacentral:rRNA from 1 species